UACGUAGGGUGCAAGCGUUGCCCGGAUUUAUUGGGCGUAAAGGGCGCGUAGGCGGCUCGGCACGUCCGUUGUGAAAUCGCCCGGCUCAACUGGGCGGGGUCAGCGGAUACGGUCGAGCUUGAGCAAGCUAGGGGGCAAUGGAAUUCCCGGUGUAGUGGUGGAAUGCGUAGAUAUCAGGAGGAACACCGGUGGCGAAGGCGGGUCUCUGGGCCGAUACUGACGCUGAGGAGCGAAAGCGUGGGGAGCGAACAGG
rnacentral:rRNA from 1 species